rnacentral:rRNA from 1 species
GACGAACGCUGGCGGCGCGCUUAAUACAUGCAAGUCGAGCGAGAACCAGAGCUUCGGCUCUGGGGAAAGCGGCGAACGGGUGAGUAUCACGUGAGUAAUCUGCCCUCGGCACCGGGAUAGCCCGGGGAAACCCGGAUUAAUACCGGAUGGCCUCUCGAGCCCUCGGGCGCGUGAGAAAAGGUAGCUUCGGCCUCCGGCCGCGGAGGAGCCCGCGGCGGAUUAGCUUGUUGGUGGGGUAACGGCUCACCAAGGCGACGAUCCGUAGCUGGUCUGAGAGGACGGUCAGCCACACUGGGACUGAGACACGGCCCAGACUCCUACGGGAGGCAGCAGUAGGGAAUCUUGCGCAAUGGGCGAAAGCCUGACGCAGCGACGCCGCGUGCGGGAAGAAGGCCUUCGGGUUGUAAACCGCUUUCAGGAGGGACGAAGCCACUCGGGUUAAUAGCUCAGAGGGUGACGGUACCUCCAGAAGAAGCCCCGGCUAACUACGUGCCAGCAGCCGCGGUAACAC